AACUUUCGGCAAUGGAUCUCUUGGCUCCGGCAUCGAUGAAGAACGCAGCGAAAUGCGAUAACUAGUGUGAAUUGCAGAAUUCAGUGAAUCAUCGAGUCUUUGAACGCACAUUGCGGCCGCCGGUAUUCCGGCGGCCAUGCCUGUCCGAGCGCCACUAGCAACCUUCGGGCCCCCCGCGCCCGGCGUUGGGGGUGCUGCCCUAAGACGGCGGCCCCCCGAAAGGUAGUGGCGGCGGUGCCAGCGGCGUCACGCGCGAAGUACCACAAAUCUAGCGCGUGGACCCGGCGGCGCCCGCCCCGGCACCGGGCCCCCGAGCCCGGCGCCACCCAGCAACUGACUGUUGGCCUCGGAUCAGGCAGGACUACCCGCUGAACUUAAGCAUAUCAAUAAGCGGAGGCU
rnacentral:misc_RNA from 1 species